AUUCCAACACUGAGAAAACUGACUCUAACCAUCUGUUACUCCUUAGCUGAAUUGUUCAAGUAUUACGUGUGUAGCAGUAUUAGAAUCAUGGACCUAUUACUACCCGUGGGAAACAACUUUAUAACCUAAGGUUGUGUUUACAUCAAAAACCUUGAAGAUUGAGGUAAUGUUUCUCCCAGAAGAAGAACCAAGCUUGCUUUGGAAAGAGCAUUACAAAAGAGUGUUUUUGAAAGAGUGUUAACAAAUUCAGUGUUUCUCAGAUGUGAUGCUGUACAUUACGUGCAAUAAUCAUCUACUUUCUGCAUCAUUCCUCCUGGACUUGAGUGAUGACAAGAAUGUCAAAGAUAAAUGAUUUCUCAGUAUCGAAGUUGAAGGAGAAGUAUCAAUCACUAUGCAGAUAAGUUGAAAUAGAUUAAUGGAAUCCCUCCUGCAGUUAUGUACUCCAUCUAUAUUGAAAAGGAUUUCGGGUUUAUGUAAAUUUGGGACUGAAUAUCUUCUAACAUACAGAGCUUAAUAUACUCAGAAACAAGAGGAACACCCUCUAGAAC